rnacentral:rRNA from 1 species
UAAAGCAAAGAAGAGCGCAGAGUGAAUGCCUUGGCAUUGAGAGCCGAAGAAGGACGUGGUUAACUGCGAUAAGCAGCGGGGAGUUGUAAGCAAGCAUUGAUCCGCUGAUUUCCGAAUGGAGCAAUCCGCAUGAAGUAGUUCAUGCAUCCAUAUGUGAAUCAAUAGCAUAUGGAGGGGAACCGCCUGAACUGAAACAUCUAAGUAGGGCGAGGAAGAGAAAUCAACCGAGAUUCCGUAAGUAGUGGCGAGCGAACGCGGAAGAGGCCAAACCGAGAGAAGAAAUUCUUUCGGGGUUCGGACUGCAUUUAGUAUUCCUGAUCUUUAGUCGAACAGUCUGGGAAGGCUGACGAGAGAGUGUGAGAGUCACGUAGACGAAAAGGAGAAGGAGCGAGCAGGAUCCAGAGUACCGCGGGGCACGUGAAAUCCCGUGGGAAGAUGGGGGGACCACCCUCCAAGCCUAAAUACUACUCAAUGACCGAUAGCGUAUAGUACUGUGAAGGAACGGUGAAAAGAACCCCGGGAGGGGAGUGAAAAGAACCUGAAACUCUGUGCUUACAAGCACAUAGAGCACGUCAAUGUGUGAUAUGGUACCUUUUGUAGAAUGGUCCGGCGAGUUAUGGUAUGCAGCAUGGUUAAGGACUUGAGGUCUGAAGCCGAAGCGAGAGCGAGUCUGACAAGGGCGAUAAGUUGUAUGCCAUAGACCCGAAACCGGGUGACCUAGCCAUGUCCAGGCUGAAGUGGAGGUAAAACUCCAUGGAGGGCCGAACCGACCUCCGUUGAAAAGGCGGCGGAUGAGAUGUGGCUAGCGGAGAAAUUCCAAUCGAACCCGGAUAUAGCUGGUUCUCCCCGAAAUAGCUUUAGGGCUAGCGUUGUAUUAGAUUACCGGAGGUAAAGCACUGAAUGGGCUAGGGGCUGAGAAGUUACUGAACCCUAUCAAACUAAGAAUGCCGGAUAAUUGAUGUACAGCAGUCAGACUAUGUGAGAUAAGUCUCAUAGUCAAAAGGGAAACAGCCCAGACCCACAGCUAAGGUCCCAAAAUGGAUUUAAGUGGAAAAGGAUGUGGAAUUGCACAGACAACCAGGAUGUUGGCUUAGAAGCAGCCACUCAUUAAAAGAGUGCGUAAUAGCUCACUGGUCGAGUGACUCUGCGCCGAAAAUUUAACGGGGCUAAACUAUACACCGAAGCUUGGGAUACAUCUAAUGUAUGGUAGGAGAGCGUUCUGUAAGGGGAGAAGUCGUAGCGAAAGCGGCGGUGGACUUUACAGAAGUGAGAAUGCCGGAAUAAGUAGCGAGAAUUAAGUGAGAAUCUUAAUGGCCGAAAGUCUAAGGUUUUUGGAGGAAGGUUCGUCCGCUCCAAGUAAGUCGGGAGCUAAGGUCAGGCCGAAAGGCGUAGCCGAUGCACAUACGGUUGAUAUUCCGUAACCAUCUGUAAUUUAAGCAAAGGGACACUUCAAAAGGGUGUGACCCGGGCGUUGGUUGACCCGGGCGUAAGGGACCGAAAUUAGAGUAGGGAAGCACACUUAGCUGAAGGCGAGAAAAGCUUUGCGUAUAGAAACAGAUGCCCGUACCGCAAACCGACACAGGUGGACAGGAAGAGAAUUCUAAGGCCAGCGGGAGAAGGGUAGUUAAGGAACUCGGCAAAUUGACUCCGUAACUUCGGAAUAAGGAGUGCUCGAAAGAGCCGCAGAGAAUAGGCCCAGGCGACUGUUUAGCAAAAACACAGGUCUCUGCCAAAUCGAAAGAUGAAGUAUAGGGGCUGACACCUGCCCGGUGCCGGAAGGUUAAGAGGAGGAGUGAGAGCUCCGAAUUGAAGCCCCGGUAAACGGCGGCCGUAACUAUAACGGUCCUAAGGUAGCGAAAUUCCUUGUCAGGUAAG